rnacentral:misc_RNA from 1 species
UGGUUCUGGCAUCGAUGAAGAACGCAGCGAAAUGCGAUAAGUAAUGUGAAUUGCAGAAUUCAGUGAAUCAUCGAAUCUUUGAACGCACAUUGCGCCCGCCAGCAUUCUGGCGGGCAUGCCUGUUCGAGCGUCAUUUCAACCCUCGGGACCCCGCCUUGCGGGGAACCCGGCGUUGGGGAUCGGACCCCCCUCCACGGGGGGACCGGCCCUGAAACCCAGUGGCGGUCCCGCUGCGGCCUUCUCUGCGUAGUAGAAACACCUCGCACUGGAGAGCGGCGCGGCCACGCCGUAAAACAGACGAAUUUUCUGAAUGUUGACCUCGGAUCAGGUAGGAAUACCCGCUGA